rnacentral:lncRNA from 1 species
GUUUCUGGUUCCCAGCUUUGAAUUAUGGCUUAAGGAUGGUGGGUAAUUUAAUUAAACAUUGCAAGGGCUUAGCUGAGGUUGCCUGGGAGCCACUGGUUUAAAGUUCCUACCCUGUCAUGGCCUCAUCAAUGAGAUUGAGAGGAACUAUGAGUGUGUUGGUGGAGAAGGGAGAGGAGGGGGCUCAGAGCUAAGAAACCCAGAGAUUCUUCUAUUCUUCUUUGACAAGCGCCCUGACAGACCCAGCUUUUCUGGGAAUUCAGCCCAGUGUCCGCAGCACCCAGCACAGGGCCUGGCGCACAGCAGAGAGGUAUUCAGGAUGGCUGACUGACUCUAGCAAUGAGCGGAUGAAACCACAGCAGUCUGAUGAUAAACACACCCUGAGGCAGCCUUUAAAAUGAUUCAGGGCAAGUUCUCUGCCUGAGGUUUAAAGUCCAGGGAGCGCCAGCCUCUGACUAAAUUGCUCACCACCAGGCAGUCCUCAGCACACCGGCCUCUCCAGGCUCCUCGGUUGCACUCUUGGGAAAGCCGAGCCAGAAUUCCAGAAACAAUGGCCCCCUCCCCACCUGUCACUGACGGAGGCAGAAACUCUUCCCGGGUCAUCGAUUAAGCAAGGACCGAGCAAAGAGAGGCAGUUUUGCUCUCCCUUGGGCAGCACCCCCACUCCCCACCCCCCAAGGCCCCAUCCUGGAGGCUCCCUUCCUGGCUCUGACCUGGAAAGGCAGGUCAGCUGGGAAGCGGGUUUGUGCUGGCUACAGUGACAACUUGAUUCUCAUGAAAAGAUAGGAGUUUGGCGCUCCAGGAGACCAUGGGUUCCUUACAGGCUAUGGUUUCAAGAGGAAGCCUGGGGACAGUUUCUCCUUAGGAAUCUGCGUCCUCCUCCUCCGCAGACAAAGGGAGCGGCUUCCCUGCCAUGCAUUCCGAAGCCCCGAGCCUCCCCCUCCUCUCUCCAUCUGCUCCGGCCUGUUGCUUCCGCGCAUGUAGUGUGUAGCAGAGGCAUUCGCCAAUGCCGCGGCGUCCAGGGUACCCCAGCCCUAGUCUCUCCUCCCAGGGAGCCCGGCGCUUCCCUUACCCGACUGUAGCGAGAACCUCCGGGGAAUCCCUUCUUCCUCCCCCAGUUCCCACACCCAGGACCCAGCUGCGGGGAGGCAUCCCACACAGGAGACGCAGAGGCAGUGAGAUCGGGGGUGAGGGGACGUGUGGCAAGCCCCAGCGUGCCUGAAGCAAAACAGGGUCAGGUCAGCCAAGGUGCCGGCCGCCACGGGAUGAGGGCAGGAAGCCUUUGCGAAGGGCUGGGAUUGCCUGUAGUCUGGGGCGGCCCUAGAAUUUCUACAUAGAAAGACUUAGGGCCACCAACUGCUGAAAAGCGGGGGCAUGAAAGGGGUGGGGAGUGGAUUGUUACCGACUAGGUUGAAGCUGGGUUUGCAAAACCACAACACUGAUACUAUUUGCAUGGAUGUUUAAGGGGGAGGGAGGAUCCUGCGAGGAUUCAGCGGAGUGAAUCGCCUCCCACCACCACCUCUUGGUGACACUGCUGCACAGAAGUGCCGACUAGGUGGCCAAGCAUGAUCAGUGUCCGCAGCGCGAACUGGAGACACGCAUUGUCUCGGGGCUUGCGCACGCACUGGCACACUCACAGUCGCACACACACGCGCGCGCACCCCAACUCCUUCCUUGCCCCGGCUCCUAUUACCUCAUCCUCUCCCGCAUCCUUAGCUGUCCGUCAAGGAAGCAGAAGACACGCCCCCUGCUGCUCGGGCGAGUGCCCUGGAGCUUACCCGCCCCCUGCUGGCCUAAAGUGUCGUGUGCCGGCCAGUGGCCACUCCAACCUCUGCUAAUGAGACCCAGUCCAAAGGGAUGCAGCAAUUUCGCUAAUGAUGGAUUUAUAUUACCUACGUAGAGAGCAAAUGUGGUUUUUCUGGCCAGAUUCAACGUACUAGAGUCAGGAAGACGCAUGUUAGAUUAAUUUUAUCUGCAUCGUUUCUGUAACUAAAAUUAUGAAACACUAGGAAAAACACGAGUUAGACUUAUUUUGAUCAUCAAUAGUUAAUAUGGAAAAUAACCUUAAAUAGGUAGGUUCUGACUAAAAGGGAAGACUGAAGUCAGGAUUAUGCAUUAUCCUUGUCAAAGAACACAAAUUUUGUUUUGUUGAGAUUGCAAACCACAUAAAACAACGAAUCGAGUCUUAUCAAGAUCCAAGUUAUAGGAUGCGGGAAAGUAAAAAUAGAUUAUGUGUUAGAGAAUGGGAUUGUGAAUCUUUUUGAAAUAAUCAAUUUUUUCAUAAAUAUCAUAUGACCCUUUUAUGUUUUAGAAGAGUUGCUUCCCCCUCCCUCUCCUUGCAGCUGUCAUUUCUCCCAUUGUUAGAAUUUUGCAUCCUUCUACCUUUAUCUUUCUCCCAACAGAGUUCUAAAUACAAAGCAAAAGAAAAAGUGUGAGAUCUGUUCUUCUUCAGGCCCCUAAAGGCACCAGGCUCAAGGAACCUCUGAGCUUUGUUCUUUCUGGUCUUCUUGCACAGCUUGGCCUCCAAAAUGCCUAGUCGGCCUCUCCCUUAUUUGGGGACUGUUCCUAAUCCAACCUAAACAAUACCACUCAUUAAAAUGUCGAGUUUCAGAAUUAGAAGAACAAAAAGAAAACAAGGAUACCUCGACUAAUUAUAUCAUAGGCCAUUAUUAUUACCAUUUUACAAAUGACAGGACUUAAGGAAUUUAAACUAUUUGCCCUAGAUUACAUAGCUAGUUAGAGGGGAAACCAGUAUUCAAAAUUUAGUUGGGCUGUCUCAAAAGAAAAUGCCUGUUCCAUAGCAUGUCCUAUACAACACAGAGGUGGCACAAUAACAGGCAAUGUAGAAGUGUCUCAGUGUGAAAGAAGGGAAGGGAGAAAAUGGGGGUAGAAUUUUCUGGAAAAGAAACAGAAGGCAAACUGAAGAAAAAGUAAUUUAAAAAUUUAUUGGGCUACUUUUAUUUCUAGUCAUAAAAAUGGAAAGUAUCAAAACUCAGGAAACUUUCUUAUAGUCUUGGUAAGUAUGAAUCAAAAAGUGAAGAGUAAUGAUUCAAGGGGAUAUUGGAAGUACCAGCGAAAAUAUAGCACCUGACCAGCUAAGCCAGAAAUUCCAAGGUGAAAAAAAUCUAAACUAGAUAAGCAGGCUACCAGCAAAUGUUAGAUGAGCUGUUUGAAAGGCGAAUGGAAGGCAGAAGGAAACUGACGCCUACCUGCCUAUGUCCAGCCUAGUUUUGUAUCUGGUCUUCUUGUAUCUUCCAUGUUAAACACAACAGAGUAUUACAGCAGAAUAAAAAUAUCUUAUGACAUGUGAGAAGGUUUGUAUGUAGUCUGAUUCAUUUGCAAGAGGAAGUGAAUACACACACACACAUACACACAUAUACACACAAAUGAGAGGGGUCUUUAAAAUUUUAUGGAAAAUGCAUAUUAUGAAAAAACUAGGCUGGUAGUUCAAAUUGUUUUUUUGCACCCAAAUAAACUCAUACUAACUUGUUAUAACAUGUCUGAACAGGAUCUAGUUUGAGACACUAAGAAGGGUAAGACAAUGCCCUUACUGAAGAGGAUCAAGGAUUAGCAGUCAAAACAAUAGCCUACACCAUAGAUAUGUCAACUGGUUCAGCUUACACAAUUCUGACAAAGAAAUUAAACUUUCCAUUCCUUGAUAGGUGCCAAAACCAUUGCACCCAGGUUGGCCACAGACAAGAGCAGGCCUUUCAAUAGAGAUUUUAAAUGGGUGGGAUCAGGAUCAUGAAACAUUUCUUUGAAGAAUUGUAACAGGAGAUGAAACAUUACCAGUAUAAUCCUGAUGACAAGGAACAACCAAAGCAAUGGCUAUCAAGAGGUAGAAGUGGUCCAGUCAAAGCAAAAGUGCACUGGUCAAAAGCAGAGACCAUGGCAACAAUUUUUUGGAGAUGCUCAAGGCAUUUUACUU